rnacentral:pre_miRNA from 1 species
CUACUACUCCCCCCGUCCGAAAAUACUUGUCAUUGAAAUGGAUGUACCUAUAUGUAUUUUAGUUCUAGACACAUCCAUUUUGAUGACAACUAAUUCCGGACGGAGGGAGUAUUAU